GAUGAACGCUGGCGGCGUGCCUAACACAUGCAAGUCGAACGGAUAUUUCGGACGUUAGUUUUCGUAUGGAUUCCUGUAAUUCUUAGUGGCGGACGUGUGUGUAACGCUUGUUCCACCUGCCCUAUACAGGGGGAUAGCAGCUGGAAACGGCUGGUAAGACCUCAUAAUUCGUCGCUUCCGCAUUGUUUUGCCGGGUAAUGUGCAAUCAGGUAUAGGAUGGUCCCGCUUCCGAUUUGCCAGUUGGCAGGUUAAAAGACUUCCAAAGCAACGAUCGGUAGACGGAAAGAGAGGAAGGACGGACACAAUGGGACUGAGACACGGCACAAAAUACGACGGGAGGAAGCAGAGGGGGAUAUUGCAAAAUGGAGGAAACGCUGAAGAAGCGACGACGGGUGAGUGAAGAAGUAAUUCGGUAAGAAAAGCAAUAUCAGCAGGGAAGAUGAUGACGGUAACUGACUAAGAAGCACCGGCUAACUACGUG
rnacentral:rRNA from 1 species